GUCUAUGGCCAUGCCACCGUGAACAAGCCCGAUGUCUGAUCUCAAAAGCUAAGCAGGGUCGGGCCUGGUUAGUACUUGGUUGGGAAACCACCUAGGAAAACCAGGUGCUGCAGGAA
rnacentral:rRNA from 1 species